GAUGAAGAACGUAGCGAAAUGCGAUAAGUAGUGUGAAUUGCAGAAUUCAGUGAAUCAUCGAAUCUUUGAACGCACAUUGCGCCCCUUGGUAUUCCAUGGGGCAUGCCUGUUCGAGCGUCAUUUGUACCUUCAAGCUUUGCUUGGUGUUGGGUGUUUGUCCAUUCUCUUGCAGAGGGACUCGCAUUAAAGUAAUUGGCAGCCAGUGUUUUGGUUUUGAAGCGCAGCACAAGUCGCGAUUCAAAGCUAUACGCCCGCUUCCACAAGCCUUUUUCACUUUUGACCUCGGAUCAGGUAGGGAUACCCGCUGAACUUAAGCAUAUCAAUAAGCGGAGGA
rnacentral:misc_RNA from 1 species